ACUGGGCUUGCUCAGUCUGGAGAAAAGAAGGCUGCAGGGUGACCUCAUUGCAGCCUUCCACUACCUAGAGAUAGCCUAUGAACAGGACCAUUCGAAAUAUGGUUGUCUACCUCUUUGUACUCUUGGAGUAGAUUUCUUCUCAGGAUGGACACAGCAAUGAAUUACUUCCUCUGAUUAAGGGUUGAAAAUGCUUCAAGUCUCUUUUCCAGUUUGAAAAUGAACACACAGAGUGGAAAGCCAAGCUGAGUCAGCCUUUUUAUCGGUUUUCUGUGAAAGAAUCCUUAUUUCCAAUUAUCUAACCCAGUGGCUACUGAAGUAGUGGUGCUUCUAAGUUACGAAGAUAAGAAAUUAGUUCCUAAGGCAAAUGGUCUUGCUGUGCUUCCAUUUUUAAAUAUAAUUCCAUUGAAGGACACUUGAUUUUCAAAGUGCAAAUCAACAUGGAGAACUUCCUUGGACGUUAAGUGUUAUUGAGCACUGCUGUUUUACGAAGGAUGAAUUAAAGCUCUCAAAAUGUGAUUCUUUCCGAGGCCACUGCUUGAACUCUUUCUGAAUGGGUCUUGCAAGGAUCUUGGCUUAACAAGGCAGCCUGGGGACCUUGACAAGCACAGAUUUUUGGCUCCAGCGAUGAGCUCAGAGUCAGUACAGGAAAGUGCUGUGAUUAGAGGCAGGGUUUGGAUGAAAUCCAGAGCUCUUAUCCCAAAGCCAUCCGAGGCAAAUAAUUUCUGGUACUUAUAAAGCAUUGCAAGUGUGAAAUUAGUGAAAUAUCUCUAAGUAGAGACCCCUUUGAACACACAGGAAAAAGAGACCUUUUGGUUAGACAGCAUCUCAGAGUUGUCUUGAGAGUCCUCAGUGCUUACAUGUCUCUGUACAUCUAGUCUGACAUCAUGCACUUCAUUCAACAGCUGUUCUCAAGUGCACCUGCACUUCCUCAUCACACUUACCCAAAUGAGUAACAUCCUCAAGCUUGCACAGCAAGAGUUGCCCAGAUGUCAACUUUGCUUGCAGUUACUGUGCCUAUUUCCUGCAUGUGCAGGAUUUGUAUGUGCUAUUAUUGGGCUUUUCCAGGUGUAGCUGACAAAGUAGCAAAGACCUACAGUCCCGUUAGAGUUGGAGACAUAGGGAACUGGAUGUAUUGAAGGCUCUAGCUAGUCAUCUGUGCUCUCAACAAUGACAACCCCAUGAAUUUGUUCAUUCCAUCCUGAAGUGGACUUCCCGUCAUAAUACUUUGUGCAUGGAUUUAGGAAAAUUUGAAUGGUAAGUGCUAAAAAUAAUAAAGCUGACAAAAUAAGAAGGAUUUUAGGUUAAUCUCAAGACAGUUAAUUAUUCAGCAUCUCCUGCUUAGGCACUUUUCUUGCUUUACUUUCUUAUUUUCUAUUUGAAUGUCAGGCAUUUUCUGUCAGUGCCUUUAAUUAGUCCAUCCAUAAAUACAGAUUGGAUCAAACUAUGCCACCUUAUACUGAAGAAAUAUCACAGUAAUCCUUACUAUAUUAGCAGCUGUUCUGCUAUUUUGCAUUAGUAUUUUGUUGACUAAUAUGUUUUGCUUGGAACUUUCAUGUAUAAUAUCUAUUUUUAAAGUAUGGCUUCUUCCUAAUUGCUUAAAGGUAAGUUGCUCUUACUUCUUCAGUAGUAUUUUUGGAAUUCUUAAGUUUUGAAAGACUUUCAUUUCAAUUUGUGCUUUAUGCUUAAAAGAAAAUCAAUUUUUCUGUAAACCAAGCCCAUCUCAUUUUCUUUUAAAAUGAUCUUGUGUUAAAAAGAAACAACAGUACCACAGCCUUUAUAGGACUGAGGCAAAAGAUCUCUACUUGACAGAAGGUUGAUGAAGUUUUAAACAACAACAACCACCACCCUGAUUCAGUGUGAUGAACCCUGCAAUCUAAGAGAUAGCUAGUGAUACCAAUUCAAACUUAAGUCAGCAUGCAGACCAUGGUGUGAUUAAGUAACUAUGCAUUGCCUUUGAGAAAAUCCCUCCAAGGAUGUUGCCUUCCUUUCAGUUCUCUGAACCCUUUAGAGAAUAUAAAUUAAUGAAAAGCUUUUCCCAGCGGAUGACAGAUUAAAGUGGAGAUUCAUGCAUCUCUCUGGCAUAUAUUCCCAUAGGGAGCUGCAGUCCAAACUCUGGGGAUGAAAUGCCAGAGACAGAAUCACAGUAGACCCAAGACCCUGAAUAGCCUCAGACUGAGUUGCUUAAGGAAUUGCUUUCGAAGGACCUUGAAGAAUGGUGUGCUACCAAGGAUUUUUCAGUCCCAGAUCAUUAACAAGUGGCCACUUCAGUAAAGAUGAAACCUGCCUGAAUUAACAAGUUUCAGAGGUACGGUUUAACAGAAUAUUUUAGAACAUCUGGAGCUAGGCACCUAUUACUCUUUUAAGUACAAUGCUUCUGGUACCAUAAAAUGAUUUAUACCAUGUUCUAGUAUUUACA